rnacentral:lncRNA from 1 species
GGAUAGCUCAAAAUAACAUGGGGCAAACCUCAGUUCCCAAUCACUCCUGCAAUCUCAGUGAUUUCUCAGGGCUUUUUUACUGCACAGAACAUGUUCUUAGUCAGAAUGUGGUCAGUCUCUGUAACAAGGUGUACACCAAGAGACUUCCCGGGAAACUUUGAGCCAAAGUAGCUAGGGACUGGUUUUGUGCAUUGCUCCAUCUGAAGGCCAAAGGCGCCAGUCUACUCAGAUAGUCCUGUUCUUCAGUAGUCCUGACCUCAUCCUCAUCCCUGUGAAAUCUGAAUAGUCCUUUUGUCUACAAAGAUCAAAUUAAAAAGUUCUCUUCUCAAGUGGAUUCUUGAAAAAAAAAAUGUUUUUCUUGUUGUGUGUUUUCUUUAAAGAAAACUGAUUU